CCUACGGGGGGCAGCAGUGGGGAAUUUUCCGCAAUGGGCGAAAGCCUGACGGAGCGACGCCGCGUGGGUGAUGAAGUCUUUCGGGAUGUAAAGCCCUUUCAGCAGGGAAGAAACAAAUGACGGUACCUGCAGAAGAAGCAUCGGCUAACUACGUGCCAGCAGCCGCGGUAAGACGUAGGAUGCAAGCGUUGUCCGGAUUUAUUGGGCGUAAAGCGAACGUAGGUGGUUGCAUAAGUCUGAGGUGAAAGCCCACGGCUCAACCGUGGAUCCGCCUUGGAUACUGUGUAACUGGAGGACAGCAGAGGAAAGUGGAAUUCCCAGUGUAGCGGUGAAAUGCGUAGAUAUUGGGAGGAACACCAGUGGCGAAAGCGACUUUCUGGGCUGUUCCUGACGCUGAGGUUCGAAAGCCAGGGGAGCAAACGGGAUUAGAUACCCCGGUAGUC
rnacentral:rRNA from 1 species